rnacentral:rRNA from 1 species
UUCUAACUAACUUAUUAAAACAUUUUNCAGUUAUAGUAAAGGCGAUUGAAACAUCUUUUGGAGUAAUAUUUCUAGUACCGCAAGGGAACAAUGAAAUAAAAAUGAAAUAACUAUCAAGCACCUAGUAGUAGAGACCUCCCCUCGUACCUUUUGCAUCAUGAUUUAACUAGUUUAUCCAAGCAUAAUGCACUAAAGUUUGCUCUCCCGAAACUAAGCGAGCUACUUCGAGGCAGUUCCAGGAACUAACCCAUCUCUGUAGCAAAAGAGUGGGAAGACCUUCAAGUAGAGGUGACAGACCUAACGAGCUUAGUGAUAGCUGGUUACUUGAGAAAAGGAUCUUAGUCCAACCCAACUUUUACAAAAUACACCUAAAUAAAAACUAAAAUUUGGAGUAAUUCAAAUAAGGUACAGCCUAUUUGAAUCAGGAUACAACCUUUAUAAAUGGGUAAUUAAACUUUUAUGUAAUAAAGUAGGCCUAAGAGCAGCCAUCUUCAAAAAGCGUCAAAGCUUAUUCACAAAUCAACUUAAUCCCCCUAAUUUUUAAAAACCCUUAAUCUCUAUUAAGUAACUCUAUAAAAUUAUAGAACCUAUUAUGUUAAAACUAGUAACAAGAAUAAGAACUUCUCUUUAAUGCAAGUGUAAAUCAGGCUGGACAAACCACUGAUUCUUAACACUUUGAAGCCAGAGUAACAACCUACCAAGAAAAUCUUACUUCACUUAAUGUUAACCUGACACAAGAGCAUUCUCAGACAGAUUGAAAGGAAUAGAAGGAACUCGGCAAAUAUUAACCUCGCCUGUUUACCAAAAACAUCGCCUCUUGAUAAUAUAUAAGAGGUCCAGCCUGCCCAGUGACUCUGUUCAACGGCCGCGGUAUCCUAACCGUGCGAAGGUAGCGUAAUCACUUGUUCUUUAAAUGAGGACUAGUAUGAAUGGCAUUACGAGGGUUAUACUGUCUCCUUUUCCUAAUCAGUGAAACUAAUCUCCCCGUGAAGAAGCGAGGAUGAACAUAUAAGACGAGAAGACCCUAUGGAGCUUUAAACUUCCAGCAAUUAUCUUUUUUAUAUCAACCUCA